CGCCCCCUCCCUCGGGUCCCCAGGACCAGCGCUGCCCCCGGGGCCGCGACCACCUAGCUCAGCCCGAGGCUGCUCGGUGGCUGCGGGCGCUGCUCGGUGGUGUCGGCCGUGUCCCCCCCCGCGGCGGUGGCGGUGGGGGCAUGGCUGGCAUUGCUCGCUGACACUCUAUCUGCCAGGGCCACGCCAGCCGCGGGCCCAGAAUAGCAGCGCUGCCCCGCAGAUAGCAUGGAGCAGCUCCGUGGCCCCGCCGCGUCCCAGGUGGCGCUGCGGGAUGCUGUUGUGUGCCCUGAGGAGGAAGGGUUUCCGAAGGCUGUAUGCCCCAGGGAGGAGGAAGAGGAGGAGGAGGAGGAGGAAGAAUACAGGAGACCUGUCACCUUCACACUGGGAAAUGAGAUACUGGGGCUGGGCCCAGAGGCCGAGUUUCAGACUCCUGACGCCGAGGUUUAUAUGCACUUCUUGAGGAGCCACUGCUGCUAUGAUGCCAUCCCCACCAGCUGCAAGCUCGUUGUUUUUGACGUCUCCCUGGAGCAGAUCAAGAAAGCCUUUUUGGCACUGGUGGCCAACGGGGUUCGUGCUGCCCCUCUCUGGGACAGCAAGACGCAGAGCUUUGUGGGGAUGCUCACCAUCACCGACUUCAUCAACAUCCUCCACCGCUACUACCGCUCACCUUUGGUUCAGAUCUACGAGGUGGAGGAGCACAAGAUUGAGACCUGGAGAGAGGUGUACCUGCAGGGCUCCCUCAAGCCACUGGUCUACAUCUCUCCAAGCAAUAGCCUCUUUGAUGCUGUCUACUCCCUGAUCAAGCACAAAAUCCACCGCCUGCCUGUCAUUGAGCCUGUCUCGGGCAAUGUCCUGCACAUCCUGACGCACAAGCGCAUCCUCAAGUUUCUCCACAUCUUUGCUUCUACCAUCCCCAAGCCACGCUUCCUGAAGAAAACAGUGCAGGAACUGUGCGUUGGCACCUUCCGUGAUCUGGCCGUGGUGGCUGAGACUGCCCCAAUCCACACUGCCUUGGAGAUUUUUGUGGAUCGCCGCGUCUCCGCCUUGCCUGUCAUCAAUGAUGCUGGGCAAGUGGUUGGCCUGUACUCGCGGUUUGAUGUCAUUCAUCUGGCAGCCCAGAAGACCUACAACAACCUGGACAUCAGUGUGAGGGAGGCACUGCAGCAACGCAGUGUCUGCCUGGAGGGGGUCCUCACCUGCUACCCCCAUGAACCUAUGGAGGACAUCAUUGACCGUAUUGCCAAGGAGCAGGUCCAUCGCCUGGUUCUGGUGGAUGAGAACCGGUACCCGCGGGGCAUCGUCUCCCUCUCUGACAUCCUGCAGGCCCUUGUGCUCACUCCUGCAGGUAUUGAUGCUCUUAACUCUUAGCCCACGGUGCUCCAUCUUUCUCCACUUGCACCCUCAAUUUCUCUCCACUUCAGGCAUCGACCGAUCCUCACUCUGAAGACACCAGGGAAAUGCCACUGUCUCGUCUGACUCGGGGAUCUCUUGCGCGACCUGUGAGAAGGAGGCUUGGGCCCGAAGGCUCUCUGUGGGGAGGACAUGCCUGUUCACCCCAGUCCUCGGGCUCGUCUUGAGUCCAGGGCUAGAUUCUGCCGGUCUCGGAGAGGCAGAAACACUGAAAAUGGGACCCAGGGGUGCCUCUUGCCACUGAGCACACGGUGAUGCUCAGUGGGCACGAUGCUGGAGGGGCUGCAACAUGCCUGCAGCUGGGCAGAGACCCAUAUAGCCCCAGAGGACCUGGCCACCCCUCUGCCAUCCUGCUGAUGGAUCUGAGCGUUUCUAUUGUGGCUCCCUCCUAGUGAACACAGUCCCGCUGUCUGUGCUCGGUGCCUGGUAGCGUAGGCUCAGCUGCACACACAGGCUUUUUUAUUUUAGGGUCACACGGGGCUGGAGCUCUCUGGCAGAGGCACAGUCUGUGCCAGAGCUGGCAGCAGGAUGGGCACUUGCAUGGAGACCCUGUGCACGUUUUGGGGCGGGCAGGGGAUAUUUAUUUAUUUGUUAGUCUGUUCAGCCUUGCUGUAACAAAACAGCCUGAUCCAAGAACUGCCUCUUGCCUUUCUGGGGUAAAGCUGGGCAUGACUCCUCUGGAGAGAAUCAGGCCGGGGAAGGGGUGCUGGCUGUUUGCCAGCGAGUUUGGCACUGGCAGAGUAGUACAUCGGCACAUGUGGGUAGAACUGAGGGGAUGGGGACACAAGACAUGCAGUCUUAAUCAUCUUGGUGAUGUGCAGGUCCCUUUGGGGACACACUGAGGGACAGAAGCUUUGGUACCAGAAAGGUUUCUGCUUGCUGCUUCCCUCAGUCCAAGAAGAAGAAAAGUAUGAGGGGUUCACUGUUAAAAAUGUCCCAUGCCCCAUCCCUCAAGGACUCUGGGCAAAUGGCAAUGCAUCCCCUGCCUGUGGCUGCUACUAGCUGUGAGCCUUGCAAUGGUCCUGGUUUGGGGG